rnacentral:lncRNA from 1 species
UAGCUCUAUCCAUCUGCUUCCUUAAAAUUUUCUAUUGUAACAAAGCUCGGGGCAAGUACUGAUGUAGCUGGAGCUGGACAUCAUUUAGGAUUUGAAAUGCCAGAGAGAGCCUACAGAGAAAGUUCAUACUUGCUGGAGUAUUUUGGUGGGGCCUCUCUAAUACUUAAAUUAGCUGGAGCUUGGAAACAAUAAAGAAAAGAGAAAAAAGAUGUGGAAGAGUGGAGUUUUCUUCUUUUUAUUCUCCUCUCGAUUGAG